GUUAUUUUGGCAGAAUAGUGCAAUAGAUUUAGAAUCUUUAUAUGUAAUUUAAUUACAAAUAAUA
rnacentral:tRNA from 2 species